GCUGUGGGCGACGGUGAGGAACUGGUCCCUUGGACAUAGGGGAGGAGCAGCUGCGGGCGAUGGUGAGGAGCCGGUCCCUUGGAUAAGGUAUAUCAAGGAUUCCCAGCCUCUCCCCUUUCAGUCUCCUGUCCACUCCUUAUAGCCCGGCGACUCCGUGCUUGUUCGUACCUGGAAAGACGAGCCUCUCCAG